UGGGGGAUAUUGCACAAUGGGCGAAAGCCUGAUGCAGCGACGCCGCGUGGGGGAUGAAGGCUUUCGGGUUGUAAACCUCUUUCGCUAUCGAACAAGGCCCGCUUAGGGUGGGUUUAGGGUAGGUGGAGAAGAAGCGCCGGCUAACUACGUGCCAGCAGCCGCGGUAAUACGUAGGGCGCGAGCGUUGUCCGGAAUUAUUGGGCGUAAAGGGCUUGUAGGCGGCUUGUUGCGCCUGCUGUGAAAACGCGGGGCUUAACUUCGCGCGUGCAGUGGGUACGGGCAGGCUUGAGUGUGGUAGGGGUGACUGGAAUUCCAGGUGUAGCGGUGGAAUGCGCAGAUAUCUGGAGGAACACCGAUGGCGAAGGCAGGUCACUGGGCCAUUACUGACGCUGAGGAGCGAAAGCAUGGGUAGCGAACAGG
rnacentral:rRNA from 1 species